CACGUUCAAACCCCGGUUCCCAUAAGAUCACCAAGGUUAAGCAAUGCCGAGCCUGGUCAAUACCUAGAUGGGUGACGGCUUGGAAAUACCAGGUGC